AUUGAACGCUGGCGGCAGGCCUAACACAUGCAAGUCGAACGGUAACAGGAAACAGCUUGCUGUUUCGCUGACGAGUGGCGGACGGGUGAGUAAUGUCUGGGAAACUGCCUGAUGGAGGGGGAUAACUACUGGAAACGGUAGCUAAUACCGCAUAACGUCGCAAGACCAAAGAGGGGGACCUUCGGGCCUCUUGCCAUCGGAUGUGCCCAGAUGGGAUUAGCUAGUAGGUGGGGUAACGGCUCACCUAGGCGACGAUCCCUAGCUGGUCUGAGAGGAUGACCAGCCACACUGGAACUGAGACACGGUCCAGACUCCUACGGGAGGCAGCAGUGGGGAAUAUUGCACAAUGGGCGCAAGCCUGAUGCAGCCAUGUCGCGUGUAUGAAGAAGGCCUUCGGGUUGUAAAGUACUUUCAGCGGGGAGGAAGGGAGUAAAGUUAAUACCUUUACUCAUUGACGUUACCCGCAGAAGAAGCACCGGCUAACUCCGUG
rnacentral:rRNA from 1 species